UGAGGAAUAUUGGUCAAUGGGCGAGAGCCUGAACCAGCCAAGUCGCGUGAGGGAAGAAUGGUCUAUGGCCUGUAAACCUCUUUUGUCAGGGAAGAAUAAGGAUGACGAGUCAUUCGAUGCCAGUACUUGACGAAUAAGCAUCGGCUAACUCCGUGCCAGCAGCCGCGGUAAUACGGGGAGUGCGAGCGUUAUCCGGAUUUAUUGGGUUUAAAGGGCGCGUAGGCGGGACGUCAAGUCAGCGGUAAAAGACUGCAGCUAAACUGUAGCACGCCGUUGAAACUGGCGCCCUGGAGACGAGACGAGGGAGGCGGAACAAGUGAAGUAGCGGUGAAAUGCAUAGAUAUCACUUGGAACCCCGAUAGCGAAGGCAGCUUCCCAGGCUCGUUCUGACGCUGAUGCGCGAGAGCGUGGGUAGCGAACAGGAUUAGAUACC
rnacentral:rRNA from 1 species